rnacentral:tRNA from 1 species
CGCGGGAUAGAGCAGUCAGGUCAGCUCGCUAGGCUCAUAACCUUGAGGUCGCAAGUUCAAAUCUUGCUCCCGCUACCA